rnacentral:rRNA from 1 species
ACGCACGCUGGCGGCGUGCUUCACCCAUGCAAGUCGAACGGAAAGGCCCUGCUUUUGUGGGGUGCUCGAGUGGCGAACGGGUGAGUAACACGUGAGUAACCUGCCCUUGACUUUGGGAUAACUUCAGGAAACUGGGGCUAAUACCGGAUAGGAGCUCCUGCUGCAUGGUGGGGGUUGGAAAGUUUCGGCGGUUGGGGAUGGACUCGCGGCUUAUCAGCUUGUUGGUGGGGUAGUGGCUUACCAAGGCUUUGACGGGUAGCCGGCCUGAGAGGGUGACCGGCCACAUUGGGACUGAGAUACGGUCCAGACUCCUACGGGAGGCAGCAGUGGGGAAUAUUGCACAAUGGGCGGAAGCCUGAUGCAGCAACGCCGCGUGCGGGAUGACGGCCUUCGGGUUGUAAACCGCUUUCGCCUGUGACGAAGCGUGAGUGACGGUAAUGGGUAAAGAAGCACCGGCUAACUACGUG